GACGAACGCUGGCGGCGUGCUUAACACAUGCAAGUCGAGCGGUAAGGCCCUUCGGGGUACGACGAGCGGCGAACGGGUGAGUAACACGUGGGUGACCUGCCUCUAGCUCUGGGAUAAGCCUGGGAAACUGGGUCUAAUACCGGAUAUGACUCCACGGCGCAUGUUGUGGGGUGGAAAGCCUUGUGUGGCUAGAGAUGGGCCCGCGGCCUAUCAGCUUGUUGGGUGGGGGUGANGGGCCUACCAAGGCGACGACGGGUAGCCGGCCUGAGAGGGCGACCGGCCACACUGGGACUGAGACAC
rnacentral:rRNA from 1 species